ACACUCACUUGUUUCACAGUAGUGGGGCUCAUUGGCUGCAGGUGAAGGGGGUGAUCCCAGUCAAAUUUGUUCAUUGAGAGGUCCCUUUGAAUCUGAUCCUCAGUCACUUGUGGGUCGUAUAUGCUAAUUCGGGCUUUGUCACCCAACAGCCCCUUGCAAACAUCGAUAGCUGGAGUCUCUCUAGUGUCACCCGUAUCCUUCUUAAAGGCAAAUCCUAGGAUGGCAACUUUUUUGCCUGAAACAGUGUUAAACAUGGAGGCCACGACACGGUUUACAAAACGGCUCUUCUGAUAAUCAUUGAUCUUAAUAACUUGCUUCCAGUAUUCUGCAACCUCUGGGAGGCCAUUGCAUUCACAGAUGUAAACCAGGUUCAGAAUGUCCUUCUGGAAGCAAGACCCGCCGAAACCAACGCUAGCAUUCAGGAACUUGGACCCAAUUCUUGAAUCCUUACCGACUGCAUACGCUACUUCAGAAACAUUAGCACCAGUAGCCUCACAAAGAGCAGACAUAGCAUUAACAGAAGAGAUUCUUUGUGCCAGAAAAGCAUUGGCGGCAAGCUUUGAAAGCUCUGCAGACCAUAAAUUAGUGGUAAUAAUUCGGUCUUCUGGGACCCACUGGGCAUAAACCUCCUUGAGAGUUUGAAUUGCCUUUUGACCUUCAGGGGUUUCCCGACCUCCGAUUAGAACACGGUCAGGUUUGAAAAGAUCUUCAAUGGCAGUUCCCUCUGCAAGAAACUCUGGGUUGGAAAGGAUUUGGAAACUGAUUCCCUUGCUGUUGUGGGUCAAGAUUUUUUCAAU
rnacentral:lncRNA from 1 species